AGAAAGAAUUAUUCAAUUUAAUGAAUAUUUACCUAACAGAAGAAAUAAGGGUGAAUGUAUUACUUUAUCUGGAUGGCCAUAUUGCUCAGGUGCUUUUCAGGAAACAAUGAUCACAUUUUGGCAAUUCAUCAUAAGAGGAGUGGGAAGCCAGCAUUUCUUUAUCACCAUUCACAAGACAUUGAGAAGAGCCUGGAUAUAGCUCCACAGAAGAUAUAUAAACAUUCUUCUUCUGAAGCUCAAAUAAACAAAAACCACCAAAUUGUUAAGUCAGCAUUUCUUAGGCCUGCAUAUGAUCCAUCGCUCAAUCUGUUGGCCGUGGCCGGUCAAGAUCUUGAAGUUGAAAACCUUCCAAUCCCUGCAGCAAAUGUAAUUGUGGUGCAGUAAUGUGGAUGAACCUCUGGAGAUACCACCCUUGAUGGACUAUUUAUUCUUGAUAUAUUCAAGAGGAUUUGCUGACAUUUUGAAAAUUUUGUUUUAUAAAGAAUGCUGAGAAAAUGAGAUUCAGACCCCAGGAUCAAAGUAAGGAAAUGUUUCCAGAGAGCAGGAGAGAGAAGGCGG